rnacentral:rRNA from 1 species
UACGUAGGGUGCAAGCGUUGUCCGGAAUUAUUGGGCGUAAAGAGCUCGUAGGCGGUUUGUCGCGUCUGCUGUGAAAACUCGGGGCUUAACCCCGGGCCUGCAGCGGGUACGGGCAGACUAGAGUGCGGUAGGGGAGACUGGAAUUCCUGGUGUAGGCGGUGAAAUGCGCAGAUAUCAGGAGGAACACCGGUGGCGAAGGCGGGUCUCUGGGCCGUAACUGACGCUGAGGAGCGAAAGCGUGGGGAGCGAACAGG